AACGAACGCUGGCGGCAUGCCUAACACAUGCAAGUCGAACGAGACCUUCGGGUCUAGUGGCGCACGGGUGCGUAACGCGUUGGAACCUGCCUUUAGGUUCGGAAUAACUCCCCGAAAGGGGUGCUAAUACCGGAUAUUGUCUUCGGACCAAAGAUUUAUCGCCUUUGGAUGGGCUCGCGUUGGAUUAGCUAGUUGGUAGGGUAAAAGCCUACCAAGGCGAGGAUCCAUAGCUGGUAUGAGAGGAUGAGUAGCCACACUGGGACUGAGACACGGCCCAGAAUCCUACGGAAUGGAGCAGAGGGGGAUAUUGGACAAUGGGCGAAAGCCUGAUCCAGCAAUGCCGCGUGAGUGAUGAAGGCCUUAGGGUUGUAAAGCUCUUUUACCCGGGAUGAUAAUGACAGUAUCGGGAGAAUAAGCUCCGGCUAACUCCGUG
rnacentral:rRNA from 1 species